UAAAAGAUAAGCUAAAUAAAAGCUGAAGGGCUCAUAACUCUUUUAUGACUAAGUCUCUUUUAA
rnacentral:tRNA from 1 species